GAUGAACGCUGGCGGCGUGCCUAAUACAUGCAAGUAGAACGCUGAAGGAAGGAGCUUGCUCUUUCCGGAUGAGUUGCGAACGGGUGAGUAACGCGUAGGUAACCUGCCUGGUAGCGGGGGAUAAAUAUUGGAAACGAUAGCUAAUACCGCAUAACAGUAGAUGUUGCAUGAUAUCUACUUAAAAGGUGCAAUUGCACCACUACCAGAUGGACCUGCGUUGUAUUAGCUAGUUGGUGAGGUAACGGCUCACCAAGGCGACGAUACAUAGCCGACCUGAGAGGGUGAUCGGCCACACUGGGACUGAGACACGGCCCAGACUCCUACGGGAGGCAGCAGUAGGGAAUCUUCGGCAAUGGACGGAAGUCUGACCGAGCAACGCCGCGUGAGUGAAGAAGGUUUUCGGAUCGUAAAGCUCUGUUGUAAGAGAAGAAAGAGUGUGAGAGUGGAAAGUUCACACUGUGACGGUAUCUUACCAGAAAGGGACGGCUAACUACGUG
rnacentral:rRNA from 1 species